AACAAGGCGUACCUGCGGACCUGCGGAAGGAUCAUUAUCGAAUUGUAAGGUCUCGGUUGUCGCUGGCUCUCUCUGGGAGCAUGUGCACGCCCUGACCAAACUCUUCAUUCUUAACCUCCUGUGCACCUUUUGUGGACUGUGGUCAGAUAACUUGUCGAGGUAACACUCGGUCUUGUGGAUUGCGCCUAACCCGCACUUUCUGCUGCAUCUGUCUGCAGUUCAUGUCUUAUUACACACUAU
rnacentral:misc_RNA from 1 species